CCCUUAGAUGUCCUGGGCUGCACGCGCGCUACACUGAUGUGUCCAGUAAGCACCUAACCUCUUCCGAAAGGAACGGGUAACCUUUGCAAAGCACAUCGUGAUGGGGAUAGAUUAUUGCAAUUAUUAGUCUUGAACGAGGAAUUCCUAGUAAGCACAAGUCAUCAGCUUGUGUUGAUUACGUCCCUGCCCUUUGUACACACCGCCCGUCGCUCCUACCGAUUGAAUGUUCCGGUGAGCUCUACGGACUGCGCGGUCUGCAGUUUCUGCGUUCCGUGCGGAAAGUUGCGCAAACCUUAACAUUUAGAGGAAGGAGAAGUCGUAACA
rnacentral:rRNA from 1 species